rnacentral:rRNA from 1 species
GAUGAACGCUGGCGGCGUGCCUAAUACAUGCAAGUCGAGCGAACAGACGAGGAGCUUGCUCCUCUGACGUUAGCGGCGGACGGGUGAGUAACACGUGGAUAACCUACCUAUAAGACUGGGAUAACUUCGGGAAACCGGAGCUAAUACCGGAUAAUAUAUUGAACCGCAUGGUUCAAUAGUGAAAGACGGUUUUGCUGUCACUUAUAGAUGGAUCCGCGCCGCAUUAGCUAGUUGGUAAGGUAACGGCUUACCAAGGCAACGAUGCGUAGCCGACCUGAGAGGGUGAUCGGCCACACUGGAACUGAGACACGGUCCAGACGCCUACGGGAGGCAGCAGUAGGGAAUCUGCCGCAAUGGGCGAAAGCCUGACGGAGCAACGCCGCGUGAGUGAUGGAGGUCUUCGGAUCGUAAAGCUCUGUUAUUAGGGAAGAACAAAUGUGUAAGUAACUAUGCACGUCUUGACGGUACCGAAUCAGAAAGCCACGGCUAACUACGUG